rnacentral:rRNA from 1 species
GACGAACGCUGGCGGCGUGCUUAACACAUGCAAGUCGAACGGAAAGGCCCUGCUUUUGUGGGGUGCUCGAGUGGCGAACGGGUGAGUAACACGUGAGUAACCUGCCCUUGACUUUGGGAUAACUUCAGGAAACUGGGGCUAAUACCGGAUAGGAGCUACUGCUGCAUGGUGGGGGUUGGAAAGUUUCGGCGGUUGGGGAUGGACUCGCGGCUUAUCAGCUUGUUGGUGGGGUAGUGGCUUACAAAGGCUUUGACGGGUAGCCGGCCUGAGCGGGGGGCCGGCCACAUUGGGACUGAGAUACGGCCCAGACUCCUACCGGAGGCAGCAGUGGGGAAUCUUGCACAAUGGGCGGAAGCCUGAUGCAGCAACGCCGCGUGCGGGAUGCCGGCCUUCGGGUUGUAAACCGCUUUCGCCUGUGACGAAGCGUGAGUGACGGUAAUGGGUAAAGAAGCACCGGCUAACUACGUG